UCCUACGGGGGGCAGCAGUGAGGAAUAUUGGUCAAUGGGCGCGAGCCUGAACCAGCCAAGUAGCGUGAAGGAUGACUGCCCUACGGGUUGUAAACUUCUUUUAUAAAGGAAUAAAGUGAGGCACGUGUGCCUUUUUGUAUGUACUUUAUGAAUAAGGAUCGGCUAACUCCGUGCCAGCAGCCGCGGUAAUACGGAGGAUCCGAGCGUUAUCCGGAUUUAUUGGGUUUAAAGGGAGCGUAGAUGGGCUGUUAAGUCAGUUGUG
rnacentral:rRNA from 1 species